AACAUCGCGCACCUGCGGGAACCUGCGGAAGGAUCAUUACAGAGUUGCAAAACUCCCUAAACCAUUGUGAACGUUACCUAAACCGUUGCUUCGGCGGGCGGCCCGGGUCCUUCCCGGCGCCCCUCGGCCCUCGCGGGCGCCCGCCGGAGGUAAACCAAACUAUUGCAUUUGUAUGGCCUCUCUGAGUCUUCUGUACUGAAUAAGUCAAAACUUUCAACAAUGGAUCUCAGAUCGGAAGAG
rnacentral:misc_RNA from 1 species